rnacentral:tRNA from 2 species
GGGGCAGUAGCUCAGCUGGGAGAGCGUCUGAUUUGCAUUCAGAAGGUCGGGAGUUCGAGCCUCCUCUGCUCCA